rnacentral:lncRNA from 1 species
CACCCAAGUUUUCUUCAGCCAUGAAGAGCCACAACAGCUACUGGCCACGACACCUGCAAAGCAGAAGACAGAGAGGGGUCCAGCCCUUGUCACCUGCACUAGGAAAGGAGAAGACCACCAGUGUAGACCUGCUGUGGAGGUGGUGCAGCAAGCCAUAUGGGUUAUUUCCAGUAUCUUCACAUAAAGUAAUGUGCAGAAGAUUCCAGGCAUGGGAACACACUUGUUCUACCCAGCCUGCCCACACUGCAUGGGAAGGUGCCAGGGAAAGGGAACCUGAGGAAUAUCACAGACUGCCAGAAAUCUGA